GACGAACCGUGCGAACGUUGUUCGGAAUCACUGGGCUUAAAGGGCGCGUAGGCGGGCGGGCAAGUCAGGGGUGAAAUCCCACGGCUCAACCGUGGAAGUGCCUUUGAUACUGCUGGUCUGGAGGGAGGUAGGGGCGUGCGGAACUUCCGGUGGAGCGGUGAAAUGCGUAGAUAUCGGAAGGAACACCGGUGGCGAAAGCGGCGCGCUGGACCUCUUCUGACGCUGAGGCGCGAAAGCCAGGGGAGCAAAC
rnacentral:rRNA from 1 species